GCCCGGCUGGCACAAUCGGUAGCGCGUGAGACUCUUAAUCUCAAGGUUGUGGGUUCGAGCCCCACGUCGGGCU
rfam:Ascochyta rabiei strain ArDII scaffold_368, whole genome shotgun sequence.